CGCGGAGUAGAGCAGUUGGUAGCUCGUCGGGCUCAUAACCCGGAGGUCGGAGGUUCAAGUCCUCCCCCCGCAACCA
rnacentral:tRNA from 1 species